rnacentral:tRNA from 1 species
GAGAGCGAGGGGGCGGAUGUAGCCAAGUGGAUCAAGGCAG